rnacentral:miRNA from 14 species
UCUCUGUGUAGCCUGGCUGUCCUGGAACUCACUCUGUGGACCAGGCUGGCCUUGAACUCAGAGAUUCACCUGCCUCUGCCUCCCAGUGCCGGGAUUAAAGGCAUGUGCUACCACUGCCUG